GAGGGGAAGGACAUGGCCCAGCUUGUGGGAAGGAUCCUGCUGGCUGUGUCUGGAGCACUGUGCAGCCUCUUCUGUGGGAAGUUCCCAUGGGUCAGUGUGGCCUGAAUCUCUCCUGCUCCUUUGUUCUCUUUGGGCUUCACAGGAGAUGUCUGGUGAACUGCCUGUGGACUCUGUGCCCCGCACCGCUCCGAAAUUAUUCGCUACCUUGAAAGAAACAGGGCACAGCUCAGCCUGUCUCUGGCCCAGCCUCUUCCACAGACGUAUGCUGCAGCCAGCCCAGCUCAGAGAGCAGUGGGGACACAUGAUCUCAUCCUGUCAAACCAAGCAACAUGGGUCCCAUUGAGGCUUAGAUGGAAGAUCCCAGGUAUCUCGUGGAGAGGACGUGUCUGGGAUCCUGGAGACUGUUUCCUGCUGGAGGUUUGAGCGGGGAGAGAUCACUCAGAAGAUCACUCGGGUCUGCAGGGUUCAUGGGAGCAGCCACACUCCAGCAGGCCAUCUGGAAGCCUAUUAAAAACUGCUUACCUACGACUUACAAAGUCCAGACCCAGUUUGAGGCUCCAUCCCUGAGGCCUAUUGGCAAAGUCCCAGAGCAGCUAAUCGGCCCCCGGGACCUCCUUAAACCAACAGCAGGAACAAGAAGCUGUCUGCUCACCGGGGCUCCCCUGUCUUCUGGACCAUGUGACUCGCUGUGGCUCAUCGGAUUUGAGGGUCUGAACACAAUUUGGUCUUUUGCUUCUGCUCUUCCAGUAUCCUGACCCAGCUGACUCUCGACUCCUGUCUUCUGAGUGUAGACUCUGCCUCUGAGCACUAGGUCUGGCUGCUCAUGACCCGGCCAUGACACUGACUUUUCUACAAUUCCUCCAAUGCCCUUUUCUGCUCUCCAGCUCUGCUCUCCCAGCAAGACACACCAAUCCCCUGGCUCCCAAAGUCCUAGUUGCUGCUAUUCAAGGGCUCAGGGAUGGUGCUUGUAUUGCCCCCUCCCGCACCACAGCUGCUUUUCCUAUGAGAAUCUCCCUAGCGCAGAGGAGAAAUCCGCUCUUCUCUUAGAAUCAGUCCUGGCAGCAAUUCAGGAAGUCAUAGAAGGGACGGUCUGCUAAGCUCCCUCUGCAAUGCCACUGUCAGAGACCAUUACUGGUGGGUGCCAAGUGAGUGCGCAGGCAGCUCCUUGAGAGACUCCUAGGCGCAGGGUAGUCGUGUUUCACGGUGACCUCUGAAAGCCAUGCAAAGAGUGCAGCAUUGAAGAGACUCUCCUGCGGUAACAAAGGGUUUCUGUUCUCCUACAUAGUCAGCCAGUGAGGCCAGUUUGCAGCAUGUGGAAGAGCUGUUUGGUGCCUUGUUGGAGGAUUCACCAUAUAGCUGGCAGCAGCUUCAGAUCCUGGAGUCCCUAUGAUAUGGUUACCAUGCAUCCGGAUUUUCCAAGACAUGUCCAGCUUUUUGUUUUUAAAUAGCUGUCGGGGAGGAAUUUGUAAAAAUCUAAAGGUCCGUGAUUUCCUCCCAAUGCUCGGGCCACCCAGAGGGGGAGCAAGUGGGGCAAUUUGCCCCAGGCCCUGGGCCCCGCAGGGGCCCUCACGAGAGUUUUUGGGGGCCUCUGGAGAAGGGUCUGUCACUCGCGCCGGGGGCCCCAGAAAACUCUCACGGGGCCCGGGCCCCCGGAGCUUCUUCUGCUCU